GGGGGAUUUUGGGGAAAAUGGGGGUGAAAAUUUGGGGGGGAACGGUGAAAAUUUGGGGAAAAUCGGUGGAAAAAUGGGGAAAAUCGGUGGGAAAAUGGCGGAGUUAAGGGGAAAAAUGGGGAAGAAAGGGUUAAAAAUGGGGAUUUUUGGGGUGAAAAAUGGGGAUUUUGGGGUGAAAAAUGGGGAUUUUGGGAAAAUGGGGGUGAAAAUUUGGGGGGGAACGGUGAAAAAAUGGGGAAAAUUGAGCAAAAAAUGUUUUUGAGUUAUUUUGGGUUGAUUUUGGGUGAUUUUGGGGUGAUUUUGGGUCAUUCUGGGUGAUUUUGGGGUGAUUUUUGGUGUUUUGGGGUGAAUUUGGCUGAUUUUGGGGUGAUUUUGGGUCAUUUUGGGUUUUUUUGGAUGAUUUUGGGUGUUUUUGGGGUGAUUUUUGUUGAUUUUUGGUGAUUUUGGGGUGGAUUUGGGUCAUUUUGGGUCAUUCUGGGUGAUUUUGGGGUGAAUUUGUGUGAAUUUGGGUGUUUUUGGGUGAUUUUUGGUGAUUUUGAGGUGAUUUUUGUCGAUUUUUGUUGAUUUUGGAUGUUUUUGGGUCAUUCUGGGUGAUUUUGGGUGAUUUUGGGGUGAUUUUGGGUCAUUCUGGGUGAUUUUUCGUGAAUUUGGGUGAUUUUUGUUGAUUUCUGGUGAUUUUGGGGUGAUUUUGGGUUGAUUUUUGGUGUGUUUUGUUGAUUUUUGGUUGAUUUUGGGUGUUUUUGGGUGGUUUUUGGGUGAUUUUGGUUGUUUUUGGGUUGAUUUUGGGUGAUUUUUGUUGAUUUUGGGGUGAUUUUGGGUGUUUUUGGGUUGAUUUUGGGUGUUUUUGGGUUGUUUUGGGGUGAUUUUUGGGGUGAUUUUGGGUGUUUUUGGGUGAUUUUUGGUGAUUUUGGGGUGAUUUUGGGUGAUUUCCAGAUUGACAGCAUCGUCCUGAUGCGCGACCCCGAGACCGGGCAGUCCAAGGGCUACGGCUUCAUCACCUUCUCGGAGGCGGAGUGCGCCCGGCGCGCCCUGGAGCAGCUGAACGGCUUCGAGCUGCCCGGGGGGGCCGAUGGGACCCCAUUGCCUUCCCAAAAACCCCAAAAACACCCCAAAAACAAACCCCAAAAACCCCAAUUUUAGCACUAAAAAAAUCCCCGUUUUUCGUUCCAAAAUCCUCAUUUUUAACCUCAAAAAAAUCAACAUUUUUUGACUAAAAAAUCCUGGGUUUUUUGCUAAAAAUCCUCAUUUUUUAGUUAAAAAAUCGUAUUUUUUUCCCUAAAAAUUCACAUUUUUCACUAAAAAAACCCCAAUUUUUCUUAAAAAAAUCUCAAUUUUUUCUUAAAAAAUCCUCAAUUUUUCCUUAAAAUAAUCCCCAUUUUUUCCCAUUUUUUCACCUAAAAAAUCUCAUUUUUUCACCAAAAAAUCUCGUUUUUUCACUCAAAAUUCCAUUUUUUUUCCCAUUUUUUCCCAAAAUCAUCGAUUUUUUCCCCAAAAUCAUCUUUUCUUUUACUCACAUGACACAAAACCAUUUAAAAACUCCAAAAAAUUCUGCAAAAAACCCAAAAAAAAUUCAUAAAAAAAACCCAAAAAAAUCAUAAAAAAUUCAUAAAAAAUCCAAAAAAAAUCCAAAAAAAAUCCAAAAAUCCUUUUUUUCCUCAAAAAUUCCAUUUUUUCCCAAAAUCGUCGAUUUUCUCCCCAAAAUCAUAUUUUCUUUUACUUACAUGACACAAAACCAUUUAAAAACCCCAAAAAAUUUUGUAAAAAACCCAAAAAAAUUCAUAAAAAAUCCAAAAAAAAUCCAAAAAAAAUCGUAAAAAAUACAUAAAAAAUCCAUUUUUUAACAUUUUUUCCCAAAAUCUCCGAUUUUUUCCCCAAAACCAUCUUCUCUCAUUCUCACAUGACACAAAACCAUUUAAAAACCCCAAAAAAUUCCUAAAAACCCCAUAAAAAUUCAUAAAAAAUCCAAAAAAAAUCGAAAAAAAAUCCAAAAAAAAUCAUAAAAAAAUCAUAAAAAAUCCGUUUUUUCCCCAAAAAUCCCCAUUUUUUCCCAUUUUUCCCCAAAAUCAUCUUUUCUUGUCCUCACAUGACACAAAACCAUUUAAAAACCCCAAAAAAUCCCCUAAAAACCCCCAAAAAAUCA
ensembl:lncRNA